rnacentral:rRNA from 1 species
GUACUGUGCAAACGUUAUUCGGAAUCACUGGGCUUAAAGGGUGCGUAGGCGGGUGAUUUAAGUAGGGGUGUGAAAUCCCUCGGGCUCAACCGAGGAACUGCGCUCUAAACUGAAUCACUUGAGUAAGAUAGGGGUGUGCGGAACUUCCGGUGGAGCGGUGAAAUGUGUUGAUAUCGGAAGGAACGCCAGUAGCGAAAGCGGCACACUGGGUCUUAACUGACGCUGAGGCACGAAAGCCAGGGUAGCGAACGGGAUUAGAUACCCCGGUAGUCCUGGCUGUAAACGAUGAGCACUAGUUGGAAGGCGCUUACGCAUUUUCCAACGUAGCAAACGUAUUAAGUGCUCCGCCUGGGGAGUAUGGUCGCAAAGGCUG